rfam:Anisakis simplex genome assembly, scaffold: ASIM_scaffold0000949
GGUUUAAUUACCCAAGUUUGAGGUAAUUACAUGUUUCAGCUCGUUGCCUCAACAGGCUCUGUGGCUUGAAAAUAAAUUUUGGAAAGCUCUGCCGAUUUGGUGGAGCACU